UGCUUUUCAGAUAGUUCAGCUGAAAGAGCAUGAGACCUUUAAUCUCAGGGUUGUGGGUUCAAACCCCACAUUUGGCAA